rnacentral:tRNA from 1 species
GCCUGGGUGGCUCAGUCGGUUAAGCGGCUGACUUCAGCUCAGGUCACCAUCUCGCGGUCCGUGAGUUCGAGCCCCACGUCGGGCU